AUGGGUUACAGAUAUAUUCAGUGAAAUGUCCGAUUCGAUGAUUAAUCCCUUAUAAUCCCCCGGGCUAUAUGGUACCAGCUACCGAUAGCCUGAAAAGUGAGUAUAUAUAAUCAAUGCAAUGGAACUAACCUCGAUGGAAAAUAUCAGUUGUUCCCAAUAUUGUCCUGUGUGAGUACAUCUAAAGACAUGUUAAGUAUAACAGGCUAAACAUCAAUCAAAUAUAUCCAUGGUAGACAACAUAAUCUACAAAUGAUAGCUUCAGUGUGCGGAUUUAAGCACACUAGUUAAGCAAAAUAAGAAGUGAACAGGUGUGUUAAUAACAUUUAAAAACAAGCAAAUAUAGUCAUUCAAACUGGUAUCGUGCAGGUCUGAAGUACACUAGUUAUUGUUAAAAAAAAAGGGGUGUUAACUUCAACAUCCUUCACAGCAACUAAAUAUCGUAAUUCAUAGUGGUAUUGUUGAAACUAUUAUUGAUGAAAUUGAACUGCACAGUAAAUAAUUGCACAUAUAGAGCAUCAUAUUUUGAAUAACUGAAAUAAAUAAGGCAUAAGGCCAUCUCUAUCUUAUCCCCUAACGGAGUAAAACCCUUAGUGGAGUAUGUGUGACAGGGCUAUUCUAUUACUAGUAACAUAAUAUUAUUCUGGUGUCCUCGGCCCUAUAUAGAGCAGCGACCGAACCGGCGGUACUGGAGUGAAAGAAAAGAAAACACGGGAGCCCAACUCCUCGAGCCCAUCAUCGUCCUCAUCCACAACCCCACGUGACCACGCCCCACCCCACGACCCGCCUCGCACCUUCUCCCUCCCGGCCGCCGUGCGUGUCCCAGCCCUGACCGCCGCGCGCCUCCCACCUCCCGGCCGCCGCGCGCCUCCACCUUCUGUCCACCGGCACGCCUCCACCUCCCGUCUGCCGCCGCACCUCGACCUCUCGACCACCGCGCGCGUCCUUCCCCGAUUGUCGGCAUGCCUCCACCUCCUACAUGCCGCCAUGGACCUCCAUCCCCGGUGCGCUGGCCCCCUCUUCCCCACCGCGCCACCGCCCCCCUCUGCCUCACCGGGUCGCACCGCGUCCCCCCUCCUCCGCCUCACCGCGCUGCCCCCAAGCGCGACGCCGUCGACACAAUUGCAGGGCCAACUUGCUGCUGACCAUGCAAUCUUCCUGAAGGAGCUCGUGUCCAACGAGACUGUAAGGAACAAGUACUCGAGUUUUGAACUUCUUACUCAGUCAUGCUAGUACUGAGGGAAAAUGGACUGAAAUGUAUUGCAAUUUAUCUCUCCGAGACCCUGACAAUUAUUCAGUCCACGCGGCCAUGCAGUCCAACUGCAUCCGCCAUCUCAGUGCGACCUCUUAUACCUUUGCAACCAUGUGGCCCGCCAUCCACCGAGUAGUCCAACCUCAGGGCCAUGUUCUGAGAAAAUCCCCUGAAGCGAAAUUGUUGCCGAUAGCCAUUGACCAUGAAGCUUCUCUGCCCUGCUGCUACUACUACAUGAGGUCGUGUGGCCACACUUUUUUUGAAGGCGUAUCUCCAUGCAAUUGCACCUUUUUCCCUGGUCCUUUGAGAGGUGACUAACUUGUUGUCUAUGCUGCUCUUUCAGUAACUGAACUGUUUUCAUGUGGAACUAUUGCAAACCAAACAGGCCCUAAGCUUGGUGCAUAUCACGAAUAAUGGCAUAACUAAGAUAUUGUGCACAUUACAGUGUUGAGAAAGAGAAGUAGCUGUUUGAACACUCCAGCAAAGGUACUUGGUGGUGGCAUUGCUUCACUUCCCUUGUUAUGCUCUCUUCGCCCAAGUUCCGAGAAUCAAGAAAACAAAUACUAGUGCUUUGCAUGAAAAUGUACGAGCAACAAAAACCCACAAAGGCCUUUGCGUAGAAACAUCACCUCCACACCCCCUCCAUUCAUGCGCAGUACAUGCUUCUCCGGCCGCCGCGCCGCGUGGAUCCAACAAGGCUGCGUCACACCGGUCCCGGAUCCGCCCGCUUCCAAUGAGGUUGCGUCACCCGCCGGCGCACCUCUGCCUCGCUGUGGGCAGUGGAUGCUCCUCCGCAGGUCAACCUCCUGGUAGCGGGUAGUUCGAUGCUCCCUAUCGUGCUACUAUCGGCGCUCCCUCGAGCUCCACAAGAACUUAUUUCCAGCUGCGUCUGCACUCUGAAAAGGUACUGAUUCAAACACUGAAGCUGCUUCUUCAAACGAUUAAACUGAAAUUAUUACUUCAACUACUGUAAGUUCACAAACUUGAAGGAGGAAUUAUUGUUUCUUAUUGGAGAAGGCCUGGUGUUUAGUUGGUGUCUGUGUGGUACCUACAUCGGCAUUUUCCAUCAAGACCUCCAGAAAAAGAGAGGUCAUCUCAAGUUCUGCAGAUAUUUUACAACUUCUCCGAACAUGCAUCCACCGACGUGCUCGGCGCUGUCCACAACUUCAUCGUGUGAGAGCUUCUGCUCCAGAUCUUCUUCCUCCAUGGUCCUGGCACGCCGUGACGACCAGUUUGAUUUCUUGGCACACUGUCUUGUCCAUGUGUGUGGCAUUAAUCAACCGUCUAAAGGAGAAAGGUGUUCUAGAUUAAAUUCAUCCAUUUGUCAGUGCAAGUUUAUUCUUUUUUGUGAGGCUUCAAGUUCAACUAUGGGUUUGUUUGGACUUGCAAGAUUCAGUUGACAACCACUACUGUGCAAUGAUAUUAUGGUACUAUUGACAUCAACAUAGAGCCUCCACCUCCAGCGACGUGCCAUGGCUCCUCCUCCCACCUUCCACGACACGCUGCAGCGGCGGUCGCCGGCGGAGGGCGGAGCGUCGGCAACAACCACCUCUGCCCCGUCCUGCUCCUCCUCAUCGCGUGACCAUCUCCUUGGCCGCCCUGCACCUCGACGUCGAGCACUUCCCUCCCAUGAGAGAUCAGACGGACAAGGCGCUCCUGCCACCUUCUUCCCCGUGGAUCCAGGUCCUGUUCCCCGUCGACAGCAGGAGACAUGAGGUCACCUCCGGCACUGCUGGUGGUGUGAAGGCCGUCAAAUGGUAAAUUUCUGACCCUUGUAACCUCAGGUACUACUACAAAGCAGAAAGGAUCUCUGUAAGUUAGUUAAUAGCACCAUGUCGCGCCUCUUGUGCUGCAAGACUGCUAGUUCUUCAACUAAAAAAAUAUACAUUUCGCUUGCCAUGCUUUCUGGAUGUAGUAUUACAUGAUAUCAGUCCCAAAAAAGUACUCCCUCCAUUCCUAAAUAUUUGUCUUUUUAGAAAUUUCAAAUGGACUACCACAUACGGAUGUAUAUAGACAUAUUUUAGAGUGUAGAUUCACUCAUUUUACUCCGUAUGUAGUCACUUGUUGAAAUCUCUAGAAAGAUAAAUAUUUAGGAACGGAGGGAGUAUAAAUUUCUUCUAUUGUCAGUUCAAUUUUCUCUAGUAUGUAUGUUCUGAAGAUGAGAGAAUGGUUUGGUGGAGAUGAUGCAUGUUUGUUUGCUUUUUAUCAUGAUAUAUAGAAAGAUGUUGGUAGCUCUAGUACAUAUACUACAACAGUUCAUUGACAAAAAAUAUAUCAGUUCAAUACAUACUUGGAAAAAAGCUCAAUACUAAGUGUUCUCUACCUAUCCUUACAUUAGCUAGUCUUCACCAUGUCCAGAUAGUGCCUAGAAGAAGUUAACUCAUGCAUUUCCAUAAAACUAUGUACUGAUAAAUCAGAACUCGUGCAUUUCCAUAAAAUUCUGUAAGUUUCGUGUGUGUGCUUCUACAAAUCUGAAAUACUUUUCCAAUCAUACUAGUACUGAUGCAAUCACCUAAAAAAGUUGAUGAAAAAUUCUGUAAGUUUGGUGCGCAUGCUGCUACAAAUCUAAACUUCUUGUCCAGUCAUUCUAGUACUGAUGAAGAUCAAGUUGACUGAAAUAAUGUAGUCGAUUCCUGAGAACCUUACUAGUCCUAUAUAUAGAAGUUGUGCCUGAUAGCCAUACAUGACUUUUCUCUUUGUUGCCUGCUUGUUUUUUUUAAAAUUCUUUGAACUUAUUUAGAUAAUAUAUUUGGACCUUUGCCACAACAACACGCUCCCCAGCCGGUCACGAGAAGAGCUGCGUGCAGGCCACCUUGUGCUCCGUCCUCGAUCCGCCUCAGUCAUCUCCCUCUCAUCCUCUCUCUGCUCCGGGUGUGUGUGUGCAGGGAGUGGGAGCAGAUAGAGCAGGGGAGUGGGAGGCCCUUCCAUGGUGAAUUCAUAGGCAUCUUCCAUGGAGAUUGUGAUCUUUGCUUGAGGAUUUAUGUUGUUGGCCUGUCCACUGUAGUUCGAUAUUAUUCUGUAACUUCAGAUAUAUCACUUCCUCCAUUCCAUGCAGAUAAAGAAGUUUUGAAGCAAUUCCCAGUGUCUUUAGCAGCAUUCAUGGUUAAAAAGCAACAACUACCUCAUCCGUUCGAGUUGAGCACUGGUCAUCGUCCAAAGUUGAGCACUAGGUGUCGUCCAAGUUCAGAGAGGGUUAUAUGCAAGUACAAAAGUUUGUUUUAGUGAGAAAAUGCGGCAUUUUGACAAUAUUCUGUAUGAUUCAUUUGUCCAACCUUAGAACUUGGCGAUAUUCAGUCUAUUUUUCUAUGAUGAAGGCACACAUGAAGUCAUGUGCAAUGGUUAUACCCCUAGUGUUACAAAAAUUUGUAUUUUGUUUCUUCAAAUGUGUUAUGCGCCUAUUUGAUGAGGUAAAACAAAGUAAAAUAGUGAAAAUGUCAUUAAAGACACUUGGAAGUACAAAUGUAAAAAAUAAAUAAGUCCUGAUUCUCCCAGGUAGGAAGUUUGGAGAAGAAAACAUAAGUUUUAAAAAGAAGGGAAUGGCAAAAAUGUAAGUCCGUUCAACUAUAUAAACCAUAAAGGUACGAUGGUGAUUACACCGUUAGUAAGGAUAAGGAUGAGAAAGAAAAUUAAAAACUAAAACUAAAAGAACAUCAAGUGAUUAUUUUUUGAGAAGUACAAACUCUUUAGUACCAUAAGUACCAUAAAAUUACAAUUAAAAAUUGCAUCAGUUCUUACUCAAGGGACAAUAAAUUUGAAAAAAAAAAUUGUACCAGUAAAAGUUCGGAGGAAGAAAAGCAACUUAAUAAAUGGAAAAAACGACAAGUUCACAACUACAAAAGUUGUAUGUUCAAACAUGACGUCUCAGAUAAGUUUGGGAAAAAGCUCAAACAAAAGAAAAAACCCACGGAAAUUCAAAUGGUAGAAGUUCAAGUCGCAAAAUGCGAGAAGUUCAAAACAUCAUUGCAAAAAAAAAGAGUUCAAAAAAAGAAACACACAAAAAGUUUUUUUUUAAAGUUCGAGGACUAUGAUACCGUAAACCAUUGAAAAGUUACAAGGAAAAGGCGUACAAAAAAAGAGAGUAAAAUUUAGUCUGCGAAAACAUGCUCAGCACAAACACAUACGGACAUCAGUUCAAGUACUUUUUUUCGAAACUAUUCAAAAUUACUUUGUGAAAAUAUCUCCUCAGUACAAACACACACAGAGAUCAGUACGAGUACUCUGUUUUUUCUGACAGGAAAACAACACGAAGGGUCUCACCGUAUUUCAAAUUAGUCUUCACCAGUUGCGAAUUUGAGAAAUCGUUCAACAUGACUAAGUUUCACAUUUUUGAUCAACAUGACUAAGUUUCACAUUUUUGAUAACUUUGCAUAGACGAUGACCUAAAAUCUUUGGCCUCUUUGAAAGUUUCGCAUUAGACAAUUCUUUGUCAAUUUUUUUUGCACACCUACCGCGAAAGUUUCCCAAAAUAUGAGCUGCCAUUUUAUAGCUCGUAUGGUGCUCAGUCUCAUGUCAAAUACAGUAGUAAGUAACUACCGUUAGCCCCUGAUCAAAUACUACUAUAGUCGCUCCACCAGCAACAACAUAGUGCAGGAUAAUUAAUUAGCGACGGAAUCUCCUCAUCUCCUAUUUGAUGUUCCAUUUUAGGUUCAUGAAUUUUGGAAUAGUCCUUCCUAUAAAUUGCACUUUAAGCACAGAAGAUUCAGCUUCAGCUGCUCUUCAGAUUCUGCCCUAUGUUGCCAACUCUAUGGUUCCUGCUAGCAACACUAGCCUGGAACCUCGUCUUGGCAUCUUACAUGAGAUAAAUGAACAAAUUCAGGCAUGCUGUGAGAUGGCCAAGAUUCUGGUGCAGGCUCUAGUGCAUGCAGAACUGGAUGACCUUUCCCAUAUUGUGCAGAAAAGAUACAGAGCAUAUAGACUGAUCUUCGAGAGACGACGAGGAUGGGCACAUGGGCAACAUGGCUAUAGUUGCCGGCGACUGAGGUGAACCUGGACGGACGGUGGUGGUGGUGGCCGGUCGUUGUCGAUGUCCGCUGGCCGGCAGGUCACCCCCUCGUCCUCGGUCGCCCGCCAUAUGAAUAUGGCUACUGGAUGUUUUUAGUGCCAUCUACCCAAUCAUCCAUGAAUUCAACAGAUUGCCUGUCUAUUCGGGCUGUAGGUAAUGUCAGAGAGAGAAAUUGCAGUGCAAUUACAGUAAGGAAGUAGAGAAUGAUGAAUCCAGCUGCAGCCUAGCAAAGUUACAGAAUCAUCUAGGCGUCAAAGAACCGCAGAAGUAUAGAGAACUGCGAGGCAUGGUGAGAGGAGGUCAAAGCCUAGUGUUGCUCGCUGUUGCAGUUCACCACCACAGACGCCGCUGCCCCCCCCCCCCCCCCCCACCAUGGAUUCUUGUCAAGCUCCGCCACUGACCACCCCCUCCCACUCCGGCGUGACCCGCCACCGCCCUCUGCCCUUCCCUUCCCAAGAUGGUAAGGCAAACGAAAUCAGUGGAGUGGUCACUCAAAAUCCUUUCGACCAAAUCACAGCUCGGCGCCUUGCCACUAGUACAAAGGGGAAGGAGGAGGAGGGGAGCAGAACACGGCGACUCCACGCCCCACCCCACGACCCGCCUCGCACCUUAUCCCUCCCGGCCGCCGCGCACGUCCCACCUCCCGGCUGCCGCGCGCCUCCCAGCCCCGGCCACCGCGCGCCUCCCACCUCCCGGCCGCUGCGCGCCUCACCUCCCGUCCGCCACCGCGCCUCAACCUCCUGACCACCGCGCGCGUCCAUCCCGACUGCCGGCAUGCCUCCACCUCCUACAUGCCGCCAUGGACCUCCUUCCCUGGUGUGCCGGCGACCUCUCUCCACCACGCGCCGGCCCCCUCAUCCCCAUCGCGCCACCGCCCCCCUCUGCCUCACCGGAUCGCACCGCGUCCCCCUCCUCCGCCUCACCGCGCUGCCCGCGCCCGGCGCCCAUCGCCGCUGUUGGGGUAGAGCCUGGGUUGACAGGAGGGAGGCGGGUGAGUGGAGGGAUCGGCCACAAGCAUCUCGGUCGAUGGCUGGAGUGGCCGGCUGAACGGGGAGAGAGCGAGAGGGGCUCUUAUUUGCUCUUUUAAUAAAAAACGAUCAGUUCAAUGAAAUGACAUAAUCAGUACAACCGUUCCGUUACGCGAAACAGAAUAGCCCAGAUGUGUUUUUUGGAUUCAUCACUCCACUAAUUUUUGGGUGUUUCUAAUCCAUCCCCUAAACUUAACGUUGUAAACUCCAAUUUGAUCAAGUUCAAAGCAGGUUCAACCGAAAGUAGCAUGCAUUGUUUUGCAUAACCGACCAUAAAAAAUAAAA